ensembl:lncRNA
AUCAGGUGUGUUUUAUAUACUAAUGAUAAUAUCAGGUGUGUUUUAUAAUGAUAAUAUCAGGUGUGUUUUAUAAUGAUGAUAUCAGGUGUGUUUUACGGCCAUAAGGAGAAAAGGAUGUUGACCUGUCCCUGUCAUUUAUUAAAGAAACACAAUUAGCGAUUAGGAUUUAGAACUCUUGUUUUGUUUUGAUUUAUUUGGUUAUACUGGUUUUGUUAUAUUUUAUUUUUAUAUUUUAUUUUAAUUCAAUUUUCUUUAAAGAUCCCCAAUGAACUGCACCUCAGUCCAGUAGAUGGCGGUAAUACACGUAGCUUGUAAACCACCAUUAAACUCUACAGAAGAAGAAGAAGAAGACCAGUCCCUCUGAGGUGUUCUCUGUCGUGUUAAACAAACUUUAUUGCUUCUUCAUGGUGGAUAGUACAUGUGUAUACUCUUACAAAAACCCUUUCCACAGCAACGCCAUCUUAUCAUUUCAGUCUAAAAUUCAAAUGAACACAAAUAAUGAUACCAGCUUUGAAGUUCUUAUUUCUUAGUAAUACUUAUAGAACUCGCAAUACUUCAUGUUUGGCUUAUAUAUAUACUAUAUAAUUUGGAUUGUGCAUACAGUUCAGAUUGUCUCGUCAAUAAUGCAGCUUAUUUGUGAUGAGAGUCACAGUAUCUUUGAGAGGUUUCUUUAUAGGGUCAUCAGCCUUAAUGGCCACAUGUUGGAGAUUGGUCAUCAUGCAACACUAGUUCAAGCAAACACACACACAGGCACACUCUCUCACACACACACACACACACACACACACACACACACACACACACACACACACACACGUUGGAGAUUGAUCAUCAUGCAUCACUUGUUCAAGCAAACACACACCCACACACACACACACACACACAUGUUGGAGAUUGAUCAUCAUGCAGCACUAGUUCAAGCAAACACACACACACACACACACGUUGGAGAUUUGUUAUCAUGCAACACUUGUUCAAGCAAACACACACAAACGCACGCACGCACACACACAUUCAGAUUAAACCUGAUUAAACCAUACUCUACUAAAACAAACAGAUUAAACAGUGAUUUUUAGAUUGCUGUUGCUGCCAAGACACUUUUAUGGCAAAUUUGGCAACAGAGCAUCAUCGUGACAUCAGUAACCUUUAUAUGUGACAUCAUUCCAUAAAUAGAUACUUUAACAUCCCUGAAUUAGUGUCACAAGAAAUGAAAAUCAAUUAUUGAAUCAAACAAUCAAAAUAAAAACAUAUGAUCCUACUAAAAUACAUAAAAUAGAAAAAAAAAUUCCAGGACAUGGAAAUAAUGUUUGAAAUAUAAAGAAAAGUAUAAAUAUAGGUCAUCAUUUCCUCAAUAAAAAGUGAAACUGAAGCUGAGCUCAAUAUAACUCCGUGUGCAUCACAGCUGCUAAACCACUAGGCAUGUUGGCAUGGCAACACUAGACAUGUUGUUCAUCUCUGUUCAUCUCUGUUCCCGUGUUCCAUCCUCAGACCCCUGCAGGACAGAAUCAGAACAACACAAUGAGAGAAAGAGUGGCCUACCGUCAGCU